rnacentral:rRNA from 1 species
CGGUUAAGAAGCUCGUAGUUGAAUUCCUGUCGAGAAGUGGUUCCCUUACCCUUUGGAUGAGGGUUACUACAUUCUUUACAUCUUCCAUAGUAGGUGUUCUUCACUUAAGUGUGCGGACAUCAUACUCUGGGCAUUUACUUUGAGGAAAUGAGAGUGCUUCAAGCAGGCAAACGCCUGAAUACAUUAGCAUGGAAUAAUAGCAUCGGAUCAUCGUGCAGCUUCUGGUGUCUGACGAAGAUAAAGGUGAACAGGGGUUGUUGGGGGCAUUCGUAUUUAACUGUCAGAGGUGAAAUUCUUGGAUUUGUUGAAGACGAGCUACUGCGAAAGCAUUUGCCAAAGAUGUUCUCAUUGAUCAAGAACGAAAGUUAGGUGAUCGAAGACGAUCAGAUACCGUCCUAGUCUUAACCAUAAACUAUGCCAACUGGAGAUGAGGCGUGUUUACAUUUCAACUCUUCCCGCAUCUUGAGAGAAAUCAAAGUUUUUGGGUUCCGGGGGGAGUAUGGUCGCAAGGCUGAAACUUAAAGGAAUUGACGGAAGGGCACCACCAGGAGUGGAGCCUGCGGCUUAAUUUGACUCAACACGGGGAAACUUACCAGGUCCAGACAUAGUAAGGAUUGACAGAUUGAUAGCUCUUUCU